rnacentral:sRNA from 1 species
AAAACCAAAAAAAAAAAAAAAGAAGAUGAAA